CUGCAUGGCUGUCGUCAGCUCGUGUCGUGAGAUGUUGGGUUAAGUCCCGCAACGAGCGCAACCCUUGUCAUUAGUUGCCAGCAUUGAGUUGGGCACUCUAAUGAGACUGCCGGUGACAAGCCGGAGGAAGGUGGGGAUGACGUCAAGUCCUCAUGGCCCUUAUAGGUGGGGCUACACACGUCAUACAAUGGCUGGUACAGAGGGAAGCGAACCCGCGAGGGGGAGCCAAUCCCAAAAAGCCAGUCGUAGUCCGGAUCGCAGUCUGCAACUCGACUGCGUGAAGUCGGAAUCGCUAGUAAUCGCGGAUCAGAAUGUCGCGGUGAAUACGUUCCCGGGUCUUGUACACACCGCCCGUCACACCAUGGGAGCGGGUUCUGCCAGAAGUAGUUAGCCUAACCGCAAGG
rnacentral:rRNA from 1 species